rnacentral:lncRNA from 1 species
CGUUUGGGGGACGCAGUCCGGUGAAAGAUGGCCUCUUCCCUCCCGCUGCCGCCGCCGGAGGAGGCGCCCUUAAAAGGGCUUGUUUGGGAAUCUUCUCGCUGUCUCUAGAACCUGUUCUCUGGACUCUAAGGUCUAGAGUCCUCCUCUACCACUUAACUUUUUUCUCUUUCCAGGGCCAAGGGCCCCAUCUCCUACUAAGCCUCUGCGGAGGUCCCAGCGGAAAUCAGGCUCUGAACUCCCGAGCAUCCUCCCUGAAAUCUGGCCGAAGACACCCAGUGCGGCUGCAGUCAGAAAGCCCAUCGUCUUAAAGAGGAUCGUGGCCCAUGCUGUAGAGGUAAAGGCUAAGGAGAGUGUUGUGGGUGGUUAGGCGGGCAAAACUGGGGACCAGCUAUGUGAUCAAUUGGUAUUGUCCCCCGCAGGUCCCAGCUGUCCAAUCACCUCGCAGGAGCCCUAGGGUGAGUUCACUUUCAUCUACUUAAUUAAGUAGAAUCUGGGUCACUCUAGAGCUGGACAGCACACAUUGGCUCCUCACAUCUGCCCAGGGAGCUGUUUUGCAGUACUGCAAAAAC